UACGUAGGUGGCAAGCGUUAUCCGGAAUUACUGGGCGUAAAGCGCACGCAGGCGGUUUUUUAAGUUUGACGUGAAAGCUCCCGGCUUAACUGGGAGAGGUCGUUGAAGACUGGAAGACUUGAGGCAAUGAGAGGGGUGUAGAAUUCCCGGUGUAGUGGUGGAAUGCGUAGAUAUCGGGGGGAAUACCAGUGGCGAAAGCGGCACCCUAGCGUUAGCCUGACGCUCAUGUGCGAAAGCGUGGGGAGCGAACGGG
rnacentral:rRNA from 1 species